rnacentral:rRNA from 1 species
UACGAAGGGUGCAAGCGUUACUCGGAAUUACUGGGCGUAAAGCGUGCGUAGGUGGUUCGUUAAGUCUGAUGUGAAAGCCCUGGGCUCAACCUGGGAAUGGCAUUGGAAACUGGCGACCUAGAGUGCGGUAGAGGGUAGUGGAAUUCCCGGUGUAGCAGUGAAAUGCGUAGAGAUCGGGAGGAACACCAGAGGCGAAGGCGGCUACCUGGACAGUUACUGACGCUCAGGCACGAAAGCGUGGGGAGCAAAAGGG